rnacentral:rRNA from 1 species
AAUAGAUACCCGGGUAGUCCACGCCGUAAACGAUGAGUGCUAAGUGUUAGAGGGUUUCCGCCCUUUAGUGCUGCAGCUAACGCAUUAAGCACUCCGCCUGGGGAGUACGGCCGCAAGGCUGAAACUCAAAGGAAUUGACGGGGGCCCGCACAAGCGGUGGAGCAUGUGGUUUAAUUCGAAGCAACGCGAAGAACCUUACCAGGUCUUGACAUCCUCUGACACUCCUAGAGAUAGGAUUUUCCCCUUCGGGGGACAGAGUGACAGGUGGUGCAUGGUUGUCGUCAGCUCGUGUCGUGAGAUGUUGGGUUAAGUCCCGCAACGAGCGCAACCCUUGAUCUUAGUUACCAGCAUUUAGUUGGGCACUCUAAGGUGACUGCCGGUGACAAACCGGAGGAAGGUGGGGAUGACGUCAAAUCAUCAUGCCCCUUAUGACCUGGGCUACACACGUGCUACAAUGGAUGGUACAAAGGGCAGCGAAGCCGCGAGGUGGAGCCAAUCCCAUAAAACCAUUCUCAGUUCGGAUUGCAGG